GAGCCUCCUAAAGGGGAAGCAGGUCCCGAGCUCCGGGGUUCAGCCAUCACUGCUGAGAGGGGAAGGAUGGAGAUGCUCCUGGUAGCCCCGUUGGUUAUCCUGGGGAUGCAGUUGGCCCGGGUGAGUGGCCAGACGAAGCCGAAGCAGACUCCUCCGACACUGAGCGUCCGGGAGGGAGAGAGCCCCGCUCUGCUCUGCAGUAGCUUUGACAAGACCACAUCAAGUUUGCAGUGGUACCAGCAGGAUUUUGGGAAACACCCUGUCUUCCUAUUUCAAAUGGCCUUAAAUAAGGAUGAGAAGCAAAAUGGGAGAUUGACUGCUACAAUCAAUAAAGAAAAUCAAACCAGCUGGCUACACAUCAGGGAUGCCCAGCCCAGAGACUCAGCCACCUAUUUCUGUGCCGUGGAGACACAGUGAUCUCCAGACACCUGCUGCCUGUGCAGAAACCCUGCCUACAGCUGGGGGUCCAGCCAUACAUGCUACCAGUGGAAGCAGAGAC